UCCAGAGGUGGCAAGCGUUGUUCGGAAUUACUGGGCGUAAAGGGCGCGUAGGCGGCCAUCUAAGUCAGACGUGAAAUCCCCCGGCUUAACCUGGGAACUGCGUCUGAUACUGGAAGGCUUGAGUAUGGGAGAGGGAUGUAGAAUUCCAGGUGUAGCGGUGAAAUGCGUAGAGAUGCGGAGGAACACCGAUGGCGAAGGCAGCCCCCUGGGUCGACACUGACGCUCAGGCACGAAAGCGUGGGGAGCAAACAGG
rnacentral:rRNA from 1 species